UACAGAGGGUGCAAGCGUUGUUCGGAAUUAUUGGGCGUAAAGAGCGUGUAGGCGGUUUGGUAGGUCCGUUGUGAAAACUCGAGGCUCAACCUCGAGACGCCGAUGGAAACCAUCAGACUAGAGUCCGGAAGAGGAGAGUGGAAUUUCCGGUGUAGCGGUGAAAUGCGUAGAUAUCGGAAGGAACACCUGUGGCGAAAGCGGCUCACUGGACCAUUACUGACGCUGAGGCACGAAAGCUAGGGGAGCAAACAGG
rnacentral:rRNA from 1 species